UAUAUAUAGAUAUAUAAAUAAAUAAAUCAAAAUAAAAUAUGGUGCAUGCCUGAGCUUGAGAUGUGGAGGUGAGCCUUACAAGCAUAAGGUUUGUGGAAGCCCUUCACAGAAAGUAGGCAGAGAGACUUUGAGACAGGAGCUAAAAGAGGAUAAACUGAGGCUGUUUUAAACUGUGAAUCAUUCAAGGCUGCUCCAUUAGAGUGCCACAAUAAAAAAGAUGAAGCAGGAAAUGAGUAGAAAUUGCUCUCAAUUAAGGAAAUUCAUGCUUUAUAGUUCAUUGUUUUACCCAAUUUUACCACAGAGGAGAAUCCCCGCCAGGCGUCCUGGUGAAGAUGUUAUUCAGUGCCUUGUUCAGAUGUUUUUGGGUUUUGUUUUGUUUUUUGGGGUUUUUUUUGGAUAGUUAUCUUCGAUAGUUAUCUUUGUUCGUAAUGAAGUUAUUGCAGGAAAAUGGAACUAGGACUUGGACUUCAUGGGACUGAAAUUGCUCAAUGUACUGUCAUCACAAAGUGGAUUAACUUACGGAAGGAUGGACUAUUUAGAUUUUAUUAAAAGGGGUGAAUGUGUUUGCAAAUUAAUCGAUCUGAAUCUACAUUCAUAUAAAGACAUAUUGAUAUGGGUCAUUUUUCUCCCGCUGUUGAUCAGUGUCAAAAAAAAUUAUGUUACUUCCAUUUAAAAUUGUAAACAAACACUGAAAAAAGUCAAAUUAGGUGAUGCUUUAUUUGUAACCAAAGAUGUGGUCCCGCUUUGGAACAUGUUAUUGGUUUUAUCCUGAGAUCUAUUAAACCAGAUAGAAUUUGAAAUCCAUAUUGUUAAAUCUCGCAGAUUUCCCCUGUGGAAAGUGUGAACUUAUCCUUUGAGCAUGUUUCACUUCUAGCCUCAAACUCGCCUUCCACAAGCUCAAGAUCAAAGACUUGUGUGACGAGGUUUCAAAUUCCGACUGUAAAUUGUAUUUUAUUGGACUUUACUGCGUUAGUUUGGAACUGUAAUUAUAACCCAUUUUCAACCCUUAACAUUCCUCUCUUGGUUGUGUUUUCUGAGAUCGAUUUUGUUUGUUUUUUUUAAUUCAAUUUGAUUUUUUUAACAUGUAUAUUUUUUAAAUUCAUCUGAUAACAUCUAUUUCCUUUCCACCCGGGAGUUUGCUAAAUCCAUUGAAACCCCUCUGACAUUUGGAGAAACAUCAAAACUCCACAGCGAAACUUUUUUUCAUUUUUAAAUUUUCACCUCGUGUUGGUGUGUGUGUGAGUGUGAAUGCCAGCAUCUUUCUCUGCUCACAUUUGAAACACAAGUGCUGUAGCUUCACGCAUUUACUUAAAAAGGAAAAAAAAAAAUCUGUAACCUUUGUGAUCAUAGAAGUUUAUAUUUUCAUACAAAUAUUUGGUUUGUACAGAGGACCUGUAACAGAUUGUACUUUUGUGAAAACACCUCAGCAAAACUCCAACAAACGAAGCUGCCCUCCUGAGAUCCGCCAUGACGAUUUAGAUCAGAUAUCAGAUAUGUUGGUCUCGGAUCACUUCAGCUACGCUGGUCAUUAACUCUAAUCUGUAACUUACGAAAAUUCAAAAAAAAAAAAAAAAAGGUUUUGUCAGUCACAUUACGUGUUUAUAUGACAGUAUCAUAGUUAUUCCUAUGAUGCUAUUAUAUACCAUAUUAUAAUAUACUGUCAUUUAGGUAAAUUGUAUUGCUCUGCAUUGAAUAAAGUCUGGCUUUGGGUGCACUGCAUCCUUGUAUUACAUGAAGUAUGGAAAAUAAAAUAAGGAACCUGCUCUCCAUGUCGCCCCCUGCUGUCACACUCUCGCCGAACAACAGUGGUGGAAGAAGUACGCACAAUCCUGUGUGUUAAUAUAUGCAAGUGAUUUGCUCAUUUAAAUCUUUAUACACUGCCGUGUCAACCUAUCACAUCCUCUAAUUCAUAUUUAUACUCAUGAUGAAAUGACUGUAAAAUCCUAAUACAUCGAGUAACCCGAGCUAUGAAAUAAAUGUGGUGGACUGAAAUAUUUCCCUGUGAAAUGUAGUGGAGUAGACAUAUGAAGUGGC
ensembl:lncRNA